GAUGAACGCUGGCGGCGUGCCUAAUACAUGAAAGUCGAGCGAACGGACGAGAAGCUUGCUUCUCUGAUGUUAGCGGCGGACGGGUGAGUAACACGUGGAUAACCUACCUAUAAGACUGGGAUAACUUCGGGAAACCGGAGCUAAUACCGGAUAAUAUUUUGAACCGCAUGGUUCAAAAGUGAAAGACGGUCUUGCUGUCACUUAUAGAUGGAUCCGCGCUGCAUUAGCUAGUUGGUAAGGUAACGGCUUACCAAGGCAACGAUGCAUAGCCGACCUGAGGGGGUGAUAGGCCACCCUGGAACUGAGACACGGUCCAGGCUCCUACGGGAGGCAGCAGUAGGGAAUCUUCCGCAAUGGGCGAAAGCCUGACGGAGCAACGCCGCGUGAGUGAUGAAGGUCUUCGGAUCGUAAAACUCUGUUAUUAGGGAAGAACAUAUGUGUAAGUAACUGUGCACAUCUUGACGGUACCUAAUCAGAAAGCCACGGCUAACUACGUG
rnacentral:rRNA from 1 species